rnacentral:rRNA from 1 species
AUUGAACGCUGGCGGCAGGCCUAACACAUGCAAGUCGAGCGGAUGAGAGGAGCUUGCUCCUUGAUUCAGCGGCGGACGGGUGAGUAAUGCCUAGGAAUCUGCCUGGUAGUGGGGGACAACAGUUGGAAACGACUGCUAAUACCGCAUACGUCCUACGGGAGAAAGCAGGGGACCUUCGGGCCUUGCGCUAUCAGAUGAGCCUAGGUCGGAUUAGCUAGUUGGUGAGGUAAAGGCUCACCAAGGCGACGAUCCGUAACUGGUCUGAGAGGAUGACCAGUCACACUGGAACUGAGACACGGUCCAGACUCCUACGGGAGGCAGCAGUGGGGAAUAUUGGACAAUGGGCGAAAGCCUGAUCCAGCCAUGCCGCGUGUGUGAAGAAGGUCUUCGGAUUGUAAAGCACUUUAAGUUGGGAGGAAGGGCAGUAAGUUAAUACCUUGCUGUUUUGACGUUACCGACAGAAUAAGCACCGGCUAACUUCGUGCCAGCCGCCGCGGUAAGAC